UGGGGAAUAUUGGACAAUGGGGGCAACCCUGAUCCAGCAAUACCGCGUGUGUGAAGAAGGCCUUCGGGUUGUAAAGCACUUUAGUUGGGGAAGAAGUUGCGUAGUUUAAGAGAUGACGUAAUUGACGGUAUCCAAAGAAUAAGCACCGGCUAACUCUGUGCCAGCAGCCGCGGUAAUACAGAGGGUGCAAGCGUUAAUCGGAAUUACUGGGCGUAAAGGGCGCGUAGGUGGUUAUGUAAGUGAGCUGUGAAAUCCCCGGGCUUAACCUGGGAAUUGCAUCUUAGACUACAUAGCUGGAGUGCGAUAGAGGGUAGUGGAAUUUCCGGUGUAGCGGUGAAAUGCGUAGAUAUCGGAAGGAACACCAGUGGCGAAGGCGACUACCUGGAUUGACACUGACACUGAGGCGCGAGAGCGUGGGGAGCAAACAGG
rnacentral:rRNA from 1 species